GACGAACGCUGGCGGCGUGCUUAACACAUGCAAGUCGAACGGAAAGGCCCUGCUUUUGUGGGGUGCUCGAGUGGCGAACGGGUGAGUAACACGUGAGUAACCUGCCCUUGACUUUGGGAUAACUUCAGGAAACUGGGGCUAAUACCGGAUAGGAGCUCCUGCUGCAUGGUGGGGGUUGGAAAGUUUCGGCGGUUGGGGAUGGACUCGCGGCUUAUCAGCUUGUUGGUGGGGUAGUGGCUUACCAAGGCUUUGACGGGUAGCCGGCAUGAGAGGGUGAACGGCGACAUUGGAACUGAGAUACGGCCAAGACUCCAACGGGAGGCAGCAGUGGGGAAUAUUGCACAAUGGGCGGAAGCCUGAUGCAGCAACGCCGCGUGCGGGAUGACGGCCUUCGGGUUGUAAACCGCUUUCGCCUGUGACGAAGCGUGAGUGACGGUAAUGGGUAAAGAAGCACCGGCUAACUACGUG
rnacentral:rRNA from 1 species